AGAGAGAGACAUGCGCGUAUAUCAAUAAGCGGAGGAAAAGAAACUAACUAGGAUUCCCUCAGUAACGGCGAGUGAAGCGGGAAGAGCUCAAAUUUGAAAUCUUCAAGGUUUUACCUUGACGAAUUGUAGUUUAAAGAAGUGUUUUCUGUUGAAGUUUUGGUAAAAGUUCUUUGGAAUAGGACAUCAUAGAGGGUGAGAAUCCCGUAUUUGACCAUUAUUUCCAGCUUUGUGAUACACUUUCAAAGAGUCGGAUUGUUUGGGAAUGCAGUCCAAAAUGGGUGGUAAAUUUCAUCUAAAGCUAAAUAUUGGCGAGAGACCGAUAGCGAACAAGUACCGUGAGGGAAAGAUGAAAAGAACUUUGAAAAGAGAGUUAAACAGUACGUGAAAUUGUCAAAAGGGAAGCGUUUGACACCAGUGUUGUUUUUCUGAAAAUCAAUUAAAAAGAGUUAGAUUUUGUUGUGUAUUGACCUUAUCAGCUUUGCACUUCAUUUUCUUGUCUUUUUUAAUGCACUUUUCGUUUAACAAGUCAACAUCAAUUUCUUUUGUUGUAAAAAGGGUCAUUGGAAGGUGGCUUUCUUUUCGGAGAAAGUGUUUAUAGCCUUUGGCCUCUGCAAUCGGAGAGAUUGAGGUCUGCAGCGUAGAUCCUUCGGGGUUAGAUACAUUUGUGCUAAGUUAUAGCCUUUCAUAGACAACUUGUUGACUAUGAUCAGUCAUGUAGCUUACUCGCUUAUGCUAUUUUACCUACGCUUAGGAUGUUGAUGUGAUACUGCGAGC
rnacentral:rRNA from 1 species